rnacentral:rRNA from 1 species
GACGAACGCUGGCGGCGUGCCUAAUACAUGCAAGUCGAACGCUGAAGGAGGAGCUUGCUCUUCUGGAUGAGUUGCGAACGGGUGAGUAACGCGUAGGUAACCUGCCUGGUAGCGGGGGAUAACUAUUGGAAACGAUAGCUAAUACCGCAUAAGAGUAGAUGUUGCAUGACAUUUGCUUAAAAGGUGCAAUUGCAUCACUACCAGAUGGACCUGCGUUGUAUUAGCUAGUUGGUGGGGUAACGGCUCACCAAGGCGAGGAUACAUAGCCGACCUGAGAGGGUGAUCGGCCACACUGGGACUGAGACACGGCCCAGACUCCUACGGGAGGCAGCAGUAGGGAAUCGUCGGCAAUGGACGGAAGUCUGACCGAGCAACGCCGCGUGAGUGAAGAAGGUUGUCGGAUCGUAAAGCUCGGUUGUAAGAGAAGAACGAGUGUGAGAGUGGAAAGUUCACACUGUGACGGUAGCUGACCAGAAAGGGACGGCUAACUACGUG